ensembl:lncRNA
UGACAGUUAAUGGCAAAAGGGAAAUUUUUAGCUAUAAAGAUCUGGAAAGGCCUGUGGGAAAUAAUGUGAGCAAAGAAUAGGACUUAUCUCUGUUUUCGCUUAUAAUUUUCAGAAGUCAUGAAGUACUAGGCACAGUUUCCAAAAUGCUUCUACUUAAUUUAACCUGAUUCUCCCCACCACACCAACAAAAUGCUUUUUAUGUUGGUACAAUAAUUUUGCAAGGUAAUGCUGAAUACCUGAAUUGCAGAAAUUAGGCCUAAAUUCUGAUGACCCUGAAUGGAAACCACAUUUUAACAUGCUGAGGGUCACUAUUUUUAUGGCACAGGUAUAUCGGGAAGAGGAUGGUACCCCUGGGAGCCAUUUCAGUCCCUCCCUUACAGAUGCCUCCUAUCAAAUGACAGGCCAUUUUCAAAGCCCUGUUUUUCCCUUUUCUCAAAUGAUAAUGGUUUAUAUUUCACCUUUUGUGACAUCCCUAAUGUUAUUUUUACAGCCUUAAUUUUAUGUUUCAUAACACCCUCUUCUCCCCUACAACCUAUCCCUACAGAUCAACCUCUGGAUAAAACACCUGUUAAAGAAGCCACUGAACUGCCUUCUUCAAAAAAUGUUCCUUUCCUUGGUUUUCAAAGCAGGAACUUAUUACAAUGGAAAGUAUGUAAUGCAAGGAAGAGGAACAUUAAGUAAUUUUUAUGAGUGGAGGGUCUGAGAUGUUCAAAAUGCAGUUAUUAUUUUCACAUUUAACCCUCUUUUAUUUUUACGGCCAUGAGGUAAAACCUCCAUUUUGGGAAGAUACAAAGAACUAACAACGUUAUAGAGCCAGUGGCUCAACUACAGAUACUCCCUGGUUAAAAGCCAUGUUUUGAUCAUAAAAUUCUGGAUGGUCUCAUUAUCUUAGUACCAAAAAAUUUAACCAUUUCAUAUUUGUAGUCAUUUUUCUAAUUUAUGAUGAAAUAGCCAUCCUCUUAAGUCUCACUUUUGGAGAAGUAGGAAGUUAGUUAUAAUUUCAGAAAAUGUAAGUUAAUAACUGCUUGGAAACUGAAAAUAUACUCACCUGUUGAUGAAUAUUAAAGAUUAGAAAAAGCACUUACAAUCUAACAUCAUUCUCUUAUAGGCUUGUAGGCCAAUGCUUUUGUUUACUUUUAAAAUUACCUCUUAAAUAAAUAAAACACUCCAUCUUAUUUCUGAACUGCAGACAGUGGUUUCAUUUAAAAAAUGUUAACUAUAUAUCCCUUCAAAUGUUUAAAUACAGAUUUCAACUGACUUCACUAACUUCAUAAAAUAUUUUGGAAAAACUUUGCAAUCCUUCUUACCUCUCACAAGCUAUUUCCCAAAACAUAAAAAUUAAAGCUCUUCACUGUUGUCCCAAAAACUACCAUGCAACCAGGCUUGGUUCAGAACUGCGAAAAUCACUAAUAUUAGUACUUCAGCUCUUACUCUACUAGUAAGGGUUGCUACCAAAUAAUUAAAAUCAAUUUUUACCUUCACUAAAAAUAAACUUUUCCUCUUUUGGUAAGCUGAUUCCAGAAAAUAAGCUCAACAUAAUAUAUCUAAGUAUAAAUCUUGAAUAAUAAUUCUGAAAUUUUUUAUUGUAAAAUUUCCCUUAUAUAUUCAAAGACAGUUACCAUUUUAAUUUUUCUUUAACUCACAUGAACACAAGAUUCUAAAACAGUCUGAAGUUUUAGCGUUAUGGCCUAUGGUCUUCAAUUUUGUGAAACAAUUCAAGAUAUAUCCUUAAGUACUCAAGACAAUUAAGAACUCUGCUGUCCCCAGAUGUUCAAAGAACAGUUCUAUCACUACCAAAAAAAAAAAAAUGCUUAUAUAUAAAAACAUCAGCUUUCAGUUAUUUCUUGUGGCUAAAAAGAAAGCUUUAAGAAUGCUCACAGAAACACUGAUGGCAGAACUAGAGCAAUUUUUAACUAGAGUUAAGACACCUGUGACAAAUAUCCCUAUCUAGAUAGUCCCUUGCAAGUACUGAGUUUCCAGAUGUUAACACAAUUAUUUUUAAAUUGGUUUAAAUCUAUUUACUCUUCAGCCUCUGCCAAGUUCCAUCGUGUUUUCUACUAUGUAAAGCAACAUAUGAAACUAUUAUUUACCAUGGUGGAGGAAAGAAGAUUGUAAUUACCAGAUACACACUGCCAAAAAAAUAAACUGUAAGGAUAGCAGUUAUAAUUUAAAUGAUUCUGAAGGUUCCUGCUAUUGAAGGUUCCUGCUAUUGCAAAGCGUAGAAAUAUCAGAUUUUCAAAUGACAUCACAUGUUUUAAAACAGUGACUUUCAGCCUAGGCAACACGGUGAAACCUCUGUACAUGAAAAAAACCAACAACAAAAAUUAGGGGUGAAGCACAGUGGUGCAUGCCUGUAAUCCCAGCAUUUGGGGAGGCUGAGACCGGCAGAUCACUUGAGGUCAGGAGUUCCAGACCAGGCUGAGCAACAUGGUGAAACCUCAUCUUUACUAAAAAUACAAAAAUUAGCCAAGCAUGCUGGCGAGUACCUAUAGUCCCAGCUACUCGAGAGGCUGAGGCAGGAGAAUCACUUGAACUCAGAAGGCAGAGGUUGCAGUGAGCUGAGAUCAUGCCACUGCACUCCAGCCUGGGCGACAGAGCAAGACUCUGCCUCAAAAAAAAAAAAUUAGCCGGGUGCGGUGGCACACACCUGUGGUCCCAGACUGAGGUGGGAAGAUCCCUUGAGCCCCAGAGGUGGAGGCUGCAGAGAGCCAAGACGGUGCCACUUCAACCCAGCCUGGGCAACAGAGCAAGACCUGUCUAAAAAACAAUAGUGAAACUAUACUUUUGCUCCUGAAGUUAUCUUUAAGCAGAGGUUGAUAAAUUUUUUGUAUCACAAACCUAUACCACAAUAAAGGCUGGGUACAGUGGCGCAUGCCCGUAAUCACAGCACUUUGGAAGGCUGAGGCAAGCGGAUCACCUGAGGUCAGGAGUUUGAGACCGGCCUGGCCAACAUGGCAAAACCCUGUCUCUACUAAAAAAUACAAAAAUUAGCUGGGCGUGGUGGCACACGCCUGUAAUCCCAACUACUCAUGAGACUGAGGUUGAAGAAUAGCUUGAACCCAGGAGGUAGAGGUUGCAGUCAGCCAAGAUCGCACCAUUGCACUCCAGCCUGGGUGACAGAGCGAGACUCCAUCUCAAAAAAAACAAAACCAAGAAAAGAAGAAAAAUCAGCAAAUAGCCUUAUUUGUCCCUAGAAGGCAAAGCCAAGACUUUUAAUGUUCUCCAAACUGUACUUAUUCCUCAAGGAUACGAUAUUGGUAGUUCUAAUGUGCCUAUAGUAAGAUGACUUUAACCUAUUUUGGUUGAAGAAAAUGGGGCAGAAUUCAAGACAUCAAAAACUGUGAGACAAGCCAAAGAAACAAAACGCAGGCAGUUUCUUUAUAGACAGUAUUAAUGGAAGAUAACACUGGAAGGAUGAACUGGGGCCAAACCAUAAAACUUUAAAUAAAUUGCAUAUGUGGUUUGCAUUUCAUUUCUAUUUGACAAUACUGUUGUAGACUCUGGAGCUAGAUGUAGAGAACCAGUAAAAUUAAAUGUGCCACUUAAAAGUUUAACUUAUUUAUAAGGAGUUAUGCCAGAUCUGAACUUCCUAAAGGACUGGCAGGACUUGGACAGAGGACAUUUCAGGCCUCUUCAAGUAAAUAAUCAAAUGUGACUGGAUAUGAAAUGAGAAAUUAAUGAGACAGUUGCUGAUGGAGAAGAGCACUUGAAUGUGUUCAGCAGACAGCUGAAAUGCAAAAACUGCACGUAACAGAGAUCAAGGAAGCCCUGACACUAAAACAGGAGCCCCCACAGAUGUGAUAUGGGACUGUAAUGUAGAUGUGAUCAAGGAAACAAGUAUACAGAGAAAAAAGGAAAAUAAAAACAAGUAAGGAUGGAAGAUGAAAUAAUCUGGCAAAGUGCCAAGAUUUUUCAAGGUUAGGUAAAUGUAAUUAAUGCCAUAGGGGUUAAAUCUUUAAAAUAUAUAAUUUUCAUAUGGGGACACUGGUAUCCUGUGAACAACUCUUAAAAGAGGGAGGCCGGGUGCGGUGGCUCAUGCCUGUAAUCACAGCACCUUGGGAGGCCGAGGCAGGCAGGUGAUCACCUGAGGCGGGAGUUCAAGACCAGCCUGGCCAAUAUGGUGAAACUUAAACCUAAACUUAUGGUUUCUAUUUAAAAUACAAAAAACUGGCCAGGCAUGGUAGUUGUAAUCCCAGCUACUUGGGAGACUCACCUGAACCUGGGAGAUGGAGGUUGCAGUGAGCCAAGAUAGUGCCACUGCACUCCAGCCUGAGCACAACAGAGGGAGACUCUGUCUCAAAAAAAAAAAAAAAAAAAAAAGGGGGGGGGGAGACGAAAACCCACUUAAAAGAAGCAUCAUUCCAAAACCACCAAGCUCACUAGAAAAGGUGCAAUAAAAUGUUUUACUGAUAAUUAAAUAUGUGGGCUUUCAGCAUAAAGACAGUUUACUUGGGUAGAGUCACUGGUAAUCAGAACAUCGAUGCUAUUUUGGACUAUAUGGUGGCCCUGUAAUUGUUAGAGAACAAUUAUUAACAUAAAUAAAAUCGAGGAGGUUGGUUUAGCAGUUAGACUGUUUUGUAUUUCCUUAUCAGGUUCAUUCAUCUAUUAGCAUUGAGAAUUUUGACUAGAAUUUCAAAACUAAGAAACAUAGAAUAUAUGAACACCUAUUCUAAAACUUUUUUAAAUUGUGUUACUACCACAAAGUAGAUUCAUGUAUUAGCUAACAUCUAUGUGAUUUGGGUUAACUGCCAAUUCAUGCAUUACCAUGGUAAUUUAGGGAAGUUUGGGAAUAACUUGGAAUAACGCUUUGUGGACUAAUGAGGGCUUGAUAGUAUUCCUCCUCAGAAUCAGAAUAUAAGAAUAUACAGGGCUUCAGUGUUAGCUUCCUCAACUUUCAAGAGUCAUAUUUCAAAGAGCUAUCACAAAAAUAAUGUACCAAAUGUUCAUACAUGUAAGAAAUUACAGGGUGAAUUAAGUCUACUUUUUAAUGCAACAUUUAUUCUUUUGUGAAAAUAAAUCUCCACAUAAAAGCAUGAAUGAAAUAACGUCAAAAGUUCUCUAGGCAGAAUUUUCCAAAAAAAAAAAAAAAAA